UACGGAGGGUGCAAGCGUUAUCCGGAUUCACUGGGUUUAAAGGGUGCGUAGGUGGGCAGGUAAGUCAGUGGUGAAAUCUUUGGGCUUAACCCGAAAACUGCCAUUGAUACUAUCUGUCUUGAAUGUUGUGGAGGUGAGCGGAAUAUGUCAUGUAGCGGUGAAAUGCUUAGAUAUGACAUAGAACAUCGAUUGCGAAGGCAGCUCACUACGCAAAUAUUGACACUGAGGCACGAAAGCGUGGGGAUCAAACAGG
rnacentral:rRNA from 1 species